AGACGGGGGGUGCUAGCGUUGUUCAGAAUUACUGGGCGUAAAGGGCGCGUAGGCGGCUCUGCGAGUCGGGCGUGAAAUCCCGGGGCUCAACCCCGGAACGGCGCUCGAUACUGCGGGGCUGGAGACCGGAAGCGGAGGGUGGAAUUCCCAGUGUAGAGGUGAAAUUCGUAGAUAUUGGGAGGAACACCGGUGGCGAAAGCGGCUCUCUGGUCCGGUUCUGACGCUGAGGCGCGAAAGCGUGGGGAGCAAACAGGAUUAGAAACCCGAGUAGUCC
rnacentral:rRNA from 1 species